AUGAAAGAUACGAAAUCAAUCGAUGACUUCGCUCUCGGGAUGACAACCAUCGCCAAUGGGAUAAGAGGACUUGGAGAAAAGUUUGAUGAGACUAAUGCUGUCAAGAAAAUUCUUCGAGCAGUUCCAUCAAAGUUUCUUCAGAUUGCAUCUGCUAUAGAGCAGUUUGGUGAUUUCAAAAUAAUGACUAUGGAGCAAGUCAUAGGGAGAUUGAAGGUUCAUGAGGAACAAUUGCAUAGUUAUGCCCAUGAUGAUGAUCAAGAGGGUGAACAACUUUUGUUGACAAGGUCAGAGUGGUUAGCAAGGGAGCGUAGACGAGGUCCUCCUAAAUCUAAGGUUCAGUGCUGGAGUUGUCAAGAAUUCGGACAUAUCAAGUGUCACUGCCCUAAUCGGAAGAAGAAGGAAGAGGCGUACCAGGCCGUGGUGGGAGAUGUUGAUGAUGACUCAAGGUUGCUCUAA
rnacentral:rRNA from 1 species